UACGAAGGGGGCUAACGUUGUUCGGAAUUACUGGGCGUAGAGCGCGCGCAGGCGGUCUUUCAAGUCAGUGGUGAAAGCCUGGAGCUCAACUCCAGAACUGCCAUUGAAACUGCAAGACUUGAGUACGAGAGAGGUGAGUGGAAUUCCCAGUGUAGAGGUGAAAUUCGUAGAUAUUGGGAAGAACACCGGUGGCGAAGGCGGCUCACUGGCUCGUAACUGACGCUCAGGCGCGACAGCGUGGGGAUCAAACAGG
rnacentral:rRNA from 1 species